rnacentral:tRNA from 1 species
GAGGGUAUAGCUCAGUGGUAGAGCGCGUGCUCAGCAUGCACACAAGGUCCUGGGUUCAAUCCCCAGUCCCUCCA